ACGCAGGAGGUUCACUGGCAGAGAGUGCUCUCCUUUGUGUCUGCCCUGGUUGUCUGCUUUCCAGAAGCGCAGCAGCUGCUUGAAGACUGGGUGGCGCGUUUGAUGGCCCAGGCAUUCGAGAGCUGCCAGCUGGACAGCAUGGUCACUGCGUUCCUGGUUGUGCGCCAGGCAGCACUGGAGGGCCCCUCUGCGUUCCUGUCAUAUGCAGACUGGUUCAAGGUAAGUGACCUGCCAAUCGGCUACCUAAUACCUGAUCUUCCCAGAAGGCCUGGGAGUGGGGACCAUGCUGUCCCCACCUGAUUCUCUGUCAUGUGAGUGAGCAACCUUGCUGUCAGCUUUGCCGAGUGGCCUUGGCAGAUCUUCCUCUGCGUGUGCCGAGGAGCCUGGGUUCUCCCUGUCGGGGCCUCAGCGGAUCUUCCUCUGCAUGUUCCGAGGAGCCUGGGUUCUCCCUGUCGGGGCCUCAGCUCCUUCCCCUGGUUUCUGUCUCACUUAGUUGACGGAGCCUCCUGCUGUCUUUUAUAAGAAAAUUAGCGAAAUCAAGCCUGGACACCAUAGUGAAACCUCAUCUCCACCAAAAA
rnacentral:lncRNA from 1 species